rnacentral:rRNA from 1 species
UACAUGCAAGUCGAGCGAACGGACGAGAAGCUUGCUUCUCUGAUGUUAGCGGCGGACGGGUGAGUAACACGUGGAUAACCUACCUAUAAGACUGGGAUAACUUCGGGAAACCGGAGCUAAUACCGGAUAAUAUUUUGAACCGCAUGAUUCAAAAGUGAAAGACGGUCUUGCUGUCACUUAUAGAUGGAUCCGCGCUGCAUUAGCUAGUUGGUAAGGUAACGGCUUACCAAGGCAACGAUGCAUAGCCGACCUGAGAGGGUGAUCGGCCACACUGGAACUGAGACACGGUCCAGACUCCUACGGGAGGCAGCAGUAGGGAAUCUUCCGCAAUGGGCGAAAGCCUGACGGAGCAACGCCGCGUGAGUGAUGAAGGUCUUCGGAUCGUAAAACUCUGUUAUUAGGGAAGAAUAUAUGUGUAAGUAACUGUGCACAUCUUGACGGUACCUAAUCAGAAAGCCACGGCUAACUACGUGCCAGCAGCCGCGGUAAUACGUAGGUGGCAAGCGUUAUCCGGAAUUAUUGGGCGUAAAGCGCGCGUAGGCGGUUUUUUAAGUC